rnacentral:rRNA from 1 species
UCCUACGGGAGGCAGCAGUGGGGAAUUUUGCGCAAUGGGGGAAACCCUGACGCAGCAACGCCGCGUGGAGGAUGAAAUAUCUUGGUAUGUAAACUCCUUUCGAUGGGGAAGAUUAUGACGGUACCCAUAGAAGAAGCCCCGGCUAACUUCGUGCCAGCACCCGCGGUAAUA